UCUUGAGUUGUCAUAAUCAAU
rnacentral:piRNA from 1 species